AGCCCGGAGAUAGCUGGUUCUCCUCGAAAUCUAUUUAGGUAGAGCGUCGUGUCUUACCCUGGGGGGUAGAGCACUGUUUGGGCUAGGGGGUCAUCCCGACUUACCAACCCCAUGCAAACUCCGAAUACCCAGGAGUACAAUCACGGCAGGCAGACAGCGGGUGCUAACGUCCGUUGUCGAGAGGGCAACAACCCAGACCGCCAGCUAAGGUCCCAAAAUAUUGCUAAGUGGGAAACGAAGUGGGAAGGCUAAGACAGCUAGGAGGUUGGCUUAGAAGCAGCCACCCUUUAAAGAAAGCGUAAUAGCUCACUAGUCGAGUCGGCCUGCGCGGAAGAUGUAACGGGGCUAAGCAAUAUACCGAAGCUGCGGAUUUGACCUUAGGGUCAAGUGGUAGGGGAGCGUUGUGUAAGUGGCUGAAGGUGAACCGGGAGGUUUGCUGGACAUAUCACAAGUGCGAAUGCUGACAUGAGUAACGAUAAUGGGGGUGAAAAACCCCCACGCCGGAAGACCAAGGUUUCCUAUCCCAUGCUAAUCAGGGUAGGGUAAGUCGGCCCCUAAGGCGAGGCGGAAACGCGUAGUCGAUGGGAAACGGAUUAAUAUUUCCGUACUUGUUAUAUCAGUGAAGGGGGGACGGAGAAGGUUAUGCUAGCUUGGCGUUGGUUGUCCAAGUGAAAGUGCGUAGGGUUGAUUUUUAGGAAAAUCCGGAAAUCUACAUGCCUGAGACACGAGACGAGACACUACGGUGUUGAAGUAGCAAAUACCCUGCUUCCAGGAAAAGCCUCUAAACUUAUGAUAUAGCGAACCGUACCCCAAACCGACACAGGUGGUCAGGUAGAGAAUACUAAGGCGCUUGAGAGAACUCGGGUGAAGGAACUCGGCA
rnacentral:rRNA from 14 species